GUUAGCCAUCGUUUGUGGGGCUUGACUUACUUCCUCACUUUAACCGUUUUUACAUAAACCUCCAAGCCCUCUUUCUGCUCUCUUUCUGUCUUUGCAGAGCACAGUUAUUCCGCAUUAUCUGGUGACAGACAGACAAAAAAUGAAAGAAAAAAGAGAAAAAACAAAACGAUCAAAGCACAUCUGCUAGAAGCUAAAUUGAGAGACCCUCCCAAUCCAAAAUGAAUCAGUUAACGCUGGAAAAAUAUAUAAAUAAAUGUAUUUAAAGUCA
rnacentral:lncRNA from 1 species